rnacentral:rRNA from 1 species
UACGAGGGGUGCAAGCGUUAUUCGGAUUUACUGGGCGUAAAGCGUGCGUAGGCGGUUCAUUAAGUCGGUUGUGAAAUCCCUGGGCUUAACCUGGGAACUGCAGUCGAUACUGGUGGACUAGAGUGCGGUAGAGGGUGGCGGAACUCCGGGUGUAGCGGUGAAAUGCGUAGAUAUCCGGAAGAACACCGAUGGCGAAGGCAACCACCUGGGCCUGCACUGACGCUGAGGUACGAAAGCUAGGGGAGCAAACAGG